CAAAAGUCUCGUUCUACGGCACUGUGGCCUGUGCAGUGAACCCAGAGGCUCCAAGUGAGGUUUCGCAAGAGGGGCAGAGGGUGCAAAAGGCCAGGGCACUUGGUGGGAGCCGCUCUGCUCAGACGCCUCCAAAUCCCCAGGUCGGCUGUGAUUGUUCUGCUUGCCCGCUCGCUGCCCACAUGGCCCUGAGAGGCGUCUACGCGCGGCUACUGUACCGCGGACCUGGCCUACGAGUCUAUCGUUCUUGGAGCUCGGCGACAGCGCAGACCGAGAAAGGCGAGAAGACCCAGAGUCGAUCGGCCAAGCCUUCGCGGCCUGAGUUUGACUGGAGGGACCCACUGUUGCUGGAGGAGCAGCUGACAGCAGAUGAGAUCCUCAUCAGGGACACCUUCCGCACCUACUGCCAGGAGCGCCUCAUGCCCCGCAUCCUGCUGGCCAAUCGCAACGAAGUUUUUCACCGGGAAAUCAUCUCAGAGAUGGGGGAGCUCGGUAUGCUGGGCCCCACCAUCCAAGGGUAUAGCUGUGCUGGAGUCUCAUCAGUGGCCUAUGGGCUCUUGGCCCGAGAGCUGGAGCGAGUGGACAGCGGCUACAGGUCAGCAAUGAGUGUCCAGUCUUCCCUUGUCAUGCACCCUAUCUACGCGUAUGGCAGCGAGGAGCAGAAGCAGAAAUACCUGCCCCGGCUGGCUAAGGGGGAGCUUCUGGGCUGCUUUGGGCUCACGGAGCCCAACCACGGGAGUGACCCUAGCGGCAUGGAGACCAGAGCCCGCCACAACCCAUUCAACAGGAGCUACACCCUCAAUGGGUCCAAGACCUGGAUCACCAACUCACCUGUGGCCGACUUGCUGAUAGUAUGGGCUCGGUGUGAGGAUCACUGCAUUCGGGGCUUCCUGCUGGAGAAGGGGAUGCGGGGCCUCUCAACCCCCAGGAUUGAGGGCAAGUUCUCUCUGCGGGCAUCAUCCACAGGGAUGAUUAUUAUGGAUGACGUGGAAGUGCCAGAGGAGAAUGUGCUGCCUGGGGCGUCUGGUCUGGCGGGCCCCUUCGGCUGCCUAAACAAUGCCCGCUAUGGCAUCACGUGGGGUGUGCUUGGAGCUGCUGAGUUCUGUUUGCACACGGCUCGGCAGUACACUCUGGACAGGAUCCAGUUUGGUGUCCCACUAGCCAAGAAUCAACUGAUUCAGAAAAAGCUGGCGGACAUGCUCACCGAGAUCACAUUGGGCCUUCAUGCCUGCCUGCAGCUCGGCCGCUUGAAGGACCAAGACAAGGCCGCCCCGGAAAUGGUCUCUUUGCUGAAGAGGAAUAACUGUGGGAAGGCCCUGGACAUCGCUCGCCAGGCCCGAGACAUGCUGGGGGGGAAUGGGAUUUCUGAUGAGUAUCACGUGAUCCGGCAUGUCAUGAACCUGGAGUCUGUGAACACCUAUGAAGGCACUCAUGACAUCCACGCUCUGAUCCUCGGAAGGGCUAUCACAGGGAUCCAGGCAUUUGUGGCCGGCAAGUGAACCCACUUCACCUGGGAGCCCAGAUGGCACCAAACCCCUCUCCAGGGAGACACAGGGCUUGGAGCUUAGUUGGAGAGGUGGCAGAUGGAGCCAGUUCUUCUGGUGGGAAGUGAGAGACACUGAUUUUUAAAUAUCAAAAUUUCCCUUUUGAAGUCAUUCAAAUGUGUUCCUUAAAGAGAAGAUGGAACUUUCUGUACUGAGUGUCUCAAUCCAGUUUUGACCAUGGAUGGGCAGGGACUCCACCUGCCUUGGAACAGAAGCUCCUCGACAGGGGAGCAGGGACAGGAGAGGAGAGUGACUUGGAAGCAACUUGUGAGACCCACCAGUGUCUAAAUGAACUGCUCCAUCCACACGGAUUCCAUGUUCUGUGGGGCAACUAAGUCUGUGCACCCCAACUACUGAGCCUGGGCUCUAGAGCCCGUGCAACCUAGAGCUGAGCUCUGCAACAAGAGAAGCCACCAUAAUAAGAAGUCCUCGAACCACACCUAGAAAGUAGCCCUCCCUCUCCCCAAUUAGAGCAAGCCUAUGCACAGCAACGGAGACCCAGUG